rnacentral:rRNA from 1 species
GAUGAACGCUGGCGGCGUGCCUAACACAUGCAAGUCGAGCGAUCUUCUUCGGAAGGGAGCGGCGGACGGGUGAGUAACGCGUGGGUAACCUGCCCUGUACACACGGAUAACAUACCGAAAGGUAUGCUAAUACGGGAUAACAUAAGAAAGUCGCAUGGCUUUCUUAUCAAAGCUUUUGCGGUACAGGAUGGACCCGCGUCUGAUUAGCUAGUUGGUAAGGUAACGGCUUACCAAGGCGACGAUCAGUAGCCGACCUGAGAGGGUGAUCGGCCACAUUGGAACUGAGACACGGUCCAAACUCCUACGGGAGGCAGCAGUGGGGAAUAUUGCACAAUGGGCGAAAGCCUGAUGCAGCAACGCCGCGUGAGCGAUGAAGGCCUUCGGGUCGUAAAGCUCUGUCCUCAAGGAAGAUAAUGACGGUACUUGAGGAGGAAGCCCCGGCUAACUACGUGCCAGCAGCCGCGGUAAUACGUAGGGGGCUAGCGUUAUCCGGAAUUACUGGGCGUAAAGGGUGCGUAGGCGGUCUUUCAAGUCAGAAGUGAAAGGCUACGGCUCAACCGUAGUAAGCUUUUGAAACUGUAAGACUUGAGUGCAGGAGAGGAGAGUGGAAUUCCUAGUGUAGCGGUGAAAUGCGUAGAUAUUAGGAGGAACACCAGUUGCGAAGGCGGCUCUCUGGACUGUAACUGACGCUGAAGCACGAAAGCGUGGGGAG